UACGUAGGGCGCAAGCGUUGUCCGGAAUUAUUGGGCGUAAAGAGCUCGUAGGCGGCCUGUUGCGUCCGCUGUGAAAUCCCGGGGCUUAACCCCGGGCUUGCAGUGGAUACGGGCAGGCUGGAGGCAGGCAGGGGAGAACGGAAUUCCCGGUGUAGCGGUGAAAUGCGCAGAUAUCAGGAGGAACACCGAUGGCGAAGGCAGUGGGCUGGGCCGGCACUGACGCUGAGGAGCGAAAGCGUGGGGAGCGAACAGG
rnacentral:rRNA from 1 species